rnacentral:rRNA from 1 species
UACAGAGGUGGCAAGCGUUGUUCGGAAUUACUGGGCGUAAAGGGCGCGUAGGCGGCCAUCUAAGUCAGACGUGAAAUCCCCCGGCUUAACCUGGGAACUGCGUCUGAUACUGGAAGGCUUGAGUAUGGGAGAGGGAUGUAGAAUUCCAGGUGUAGCGGUGAAAUGCGUAGAUAUCUGGAGGAAUACCGGUGGCGAAGGCGGCAUCCUGGACCAUUACUGACGCUGAGGCGCGAAGGCUAGGGGAGCAAACAGG